UACAGAGGGUGCGAGCGUUAAUCGGAAUUACUGGGCGUAAAGCGUGCGCAGGCGGUUUUGUAAGUCAGAUGUGAAAUCCCCGAGCUCAACUUGGGAACUGCGUUUGAAACUACAAGACUAGAAUAUGUCAGAGGGGGGGUAGAAUUCCACGUGUAGCAGUGAAAUGCGUAGAGAUGUGGAGGAAUACCAAUGGCGAAGGCAGCCCCCUGGGAUAAUAUUGACGCUCAUGCACGAAAGCGUGGGGAG
rnacentral:rRNA from 1 species